rnacentral:tRNA from 1 species
GGAAGGUAUCGCCCAGUGGUGGGCAACCCGGCUCGAAAUCGGGCACGACAGGCUCAGGCCUGGGGGUUCGACUCCUCUACCUUCCUC